rnacentral:misc_RNA from 1 species
GAUGAAGAACGUAGCAAAAUGCGAUACUUGGUGUGAAUUGCAGAAUCCCGUGAACCACCGAGUUUUUGAACGCAAGUUGCGCCCGAAGCCUUUUGGCCGAGGGCACGUCUGCCUGGGCGUCACGCAUCGCGUCGCCCCCCACAAUUCUCCGUAAAAGGAACAUGUGUUUUGGGGGCGGAUAUUGGUCUCCCGUGCUCAUGGCGUGGUUGGCCGAAAUAGGAGUCCUUUCGAUGGACGCACGAACUAGUGGUGGUCGUAAAAACCCUCGUCUUUUGUUUCGUGCUGUUGCUCGCAAGGUAAACUCUUUAAAAACCCCAAUGUGUCGUCUCUUGACGACGCUUCGACCGCGACCCCAGGUCAGGCGGGACUACCCGCUGAGUUUAAGCAUAUCAAUAAGCGGAGGA